rnacentral:rRNA from 1 species
UACGGGGGGAGCAAGCGUUGUUCGGAUUUACUGGGCGUAAAGGGCGCGUAGGCGGCGUGGUAAGUCACUUGUGAAAUCUCUGAGCUUAACUCAGAACGGCCAAGUGAUACUGCUGUGCUAGAGUGCAGAAGGGGCAAUCGGAAUUCUUGGUGUAGCGGUGAAACGCGUAGAUAUCAAGAGGAACACCUGAGGUGAAGACGGGCUGCUGGGCUGACACUGACGCUGAUGCGCGAAAGCUAGGGGAGCAAACGGG